UAAAGCUUUAAUGUCUGAGCGAGUAAC
rnacentral:sRNA from 1 species